rnacentral:rRNA from 1 species
UUUGGAGAGUCUGAGUUGUAAUUUUAAGAACUGUUUUCAGUGCUGGACCAUUCAGAAGUUUGUUGGAAAACAACAUCAGUGAGGGUGAUAAUCCCGUUCAUGGUAUGGACCACCAGUACAUUAUGAUACAGUCUCUAAGAGUCGAGUUGUUUGGGAAUGCAGCUCAAAGUGGGUGGUAAAUUCCAUCUAAGGCUAAAUAUUGAUGAGAGACCGAUAGCAAACAAGUACCGUGAGGGAAAGAUGAAAAGAACUUUGGAAAGAGAGUUAACAGUAUGUGAAAUUGUUAAAAGGGAAACACUUGAAGUUAGACUUGUUAUUGUCAGUUCAAACCUUUUUUUGAGGGGAGUAUUCUGAUGGUUAACAGAUCAACAUCAAUUCUAUGGGUGCUGGAUAAGGGUUGUGGAAAUGUGGCAGUCUCUGGCUGUGUUUAUAGACCAUGACUUUGAUAUAGUGCCUAGGAUUGAGGAAUGCAGCAAGCCUUUUUUAGAAGGGGUGGACCUAAUUAUGGGUUUUCUUGCUGAGGAUGUUGAUGUAAUAGCUUUAAAUGACCCGUCUUGAACCACGGAACCA